GACGAACGCUGGCGGCGUGCUUAACACAUGCAAGUCGAACGGAAAGGCCCUGCUUUUGUGGGGUGCUCGAGUGGCGAACGGGUGAGUAACACGUGAGUAACCUGCCCUUGACUUUGGGAUAACUUCAGGAAACUGGGGCUAAUACCGGAUAGGAGCUCCUGCUGCAUGGUGGGGGUUGGAAAGUUUCGGCGGUUGGGGCUGGACUCGCGGCUUAUCAGCUUGUUGGUGGGGUAUUGGCUUACCAAGGCUUUGACGGGUAGCCGGCCUGAUAGGGUGACCGGCCACAUUGUGACUGAGAUACGGCCAAGACUCGUACAGGAGGCAGCAGUGGGGAAUAUUGAACAAUGGGCGGAAGCCUGAUGCAGCAACGCCGCGUGCGGGAUGACGGCCUUCGGGUUGUAAACCGCUUUCGCCUGUGACGAAGCGUGAGUGACGGUAAUGGGUAAAGAAGCACCGGCUAACUACGUG
rnacentral:rRNA from 1 species